GGAGAUGGGAGUUGCGGCUUUGACGUGGUGGAAGAAAGCGACGGAGCAGAGGACAGAGGCAAUGAGAGCAAAGAAUCCAAAUCCGAUCAUUAGAGAGACACCGGCGACGAUAAGAUCCAUCGCCGUUUGAAUGCUCAUUAUGCCCAUCAUCUUCAGAUUCUUUAGUUUUAGAAAUGGUUUGGAUAAUGGAACUAUUAUAAGAGGGUGAAACAGAAUGGCAUAGCAAUUGCCUUUGGAAAUGGUGAAACAGAAUGCAUUGCCACCACGUUACGUGAUAAACUCAAAUUUACGACACCUUGAACUAAU